rnacentral:tRNA from 1 species
GCCGGGAUGGCGGAACAGGAAGACGCGACAGACUCAAAAUCUGUUGGGCCUUCGGCCCGUGGGGGUUCGACUCCCCCUCUCGGCACCA